GCUCUUUUCGGCAGCGCAUACACUAAAAUUGGAACGAUACAGAGGAGGUUAGCAUGGCCUGCGCAAAAAGAUGACACUAGAAAGUUAAUAAUAAACCUUAGACUG